UUGGUUCAGCAGAACAAAGAUGUGUUGUGAAUGUGUGCCAACCAGGGAGUAAUCUAUUAGCUGCUGGAUACUGCAUGUACUCGAGCUCUAUAAUCUUUGUGCUCACGUUAGGGAAUGGAGUGUACGCGUUCACCUUGGAUCCAAUGUAUGGUGAAUUCGUGUUAACUCAAGAAAAAAUUCAGAUACCAAAAGCCGGGAAAAUAUAUGCAUUCAAUGAAGGGAAUUACCAAUUGUGGGAUGAUAAGUUGAAGAAGUAUAUUGAUGACCUUAAAGACCCUGGCCCUAGUGGCAAGCCUUAUUCAGCUAGAUACAUUGGAAGCUUGGUUGGAGACUUUCACCGGACACUGCUAUAUGGUGGAAUCUACGGUUACCCUAGAGACAAAAAGAGCAAAAAUGGUAAGCUGAGACUCUUGUAUGAAUGUGCACCAAUGAGCUUUAUUGUGGAACAAGCUGGUGGGAAAGGAUCUGAUGGACAUCAAAGAAUCCUU
rnacentral:lncRNA from 1 species